GGAGCAAAAGGUGGUGCUUCUCGU
rnacentral:siRNA from 1 species